GUGUUUGCUGAGCUGAAGAUGUCCACCAGGAAUCGUAAGAUACCAAGGAAAUUCCUCAACGGCGACGACACCAUAUAGAAGACCAGGGCAAUCCAGGCACAGCAGAGGUUGAAGAGGCUGGAAAAAGAGAAGAAGGAGAAAGGAGGAUCCGCAGAAGGGAGGAAGAGUGGACCGCUGCACACGGAGAAGCUGGUAGAGCAGGUGAUACCAGCUGGUGUGAUCGGAGCUGGAGAGGAACUGGAAAGCAGCACAGCAAGGUGCGCAAUGGGAAGGGACGGAAGGGAUGGAGAUUCUGUCGAAGAAAAGGAGAGGCACAAGGAAAAGACAAGGGGAGGGAACAGAACGCUCAAACAAAGCAAGGUUCAUUAGGAGAGAGCGAAUCAUAAUCGGAGAGGUCACAA